rnacentral:rRNA from 1 species
UACAGAGGUCCCAAGCGUUGUUCGGAUUCACUGGGCGUAAAGGGUGCGUAGGUGGCAGGGUAAGUUUGAUGUGAAAUCUCCGAGCUUAACUCGGAAACUGCAUUGAAUACUAUCCUGCUCGAGGGUUGGAAGGGGGACUGGAAUUCUCGGUGUAGCAGUGAAAUGCGUAGAUAUCGAGAGGAACACCAGUGGCGAAGGCGAGUCCCUGGACAACACCUGACACUGAGGCACGAAAGCUAGGGGGGCAAACAGG